CCUCGAUUCACUUCGGCCCAGGCAACCAGCCGAGUCCUCGGCCGAGUCAGCUGGGACGGCAAGAGCGGGGUAGAGGAGUGGGGUUGGCCACCAUCUUUGGGAAACGGGAUUCCGGUCGAGUGAGGGAGCGAGCGAGCAAGCCAACACACAGGACGGAGAGGUACUCACUCAGAGAUAUUUGAAAGUAACUCCACCAAACACUACUGCAAGACCUGCCACUACCAUGGCAACAAAAUAUCUUGAAAAUGCUAAAGAAUAUAGAUAAAAAAGUGUUCCAUGGGAUAUGUCUGUGUCAUACUUACAAAAAUCUAGAAGGAGAUACUCUUCACCUUUACAUGAUGCCAUGAAGCUCAUUGAAGUCCAGUCAUUAUUUUAUUCUUAGAAGGUUAGAGAACAGGUAUGAAAAUAAUCAUGGGAAAUAAUUGGUGUUCUAUAGUUUGCUUAUCCAAAAUGCAAGUCUAU
rnacentral:lncRNA from 1 species